UCAUCCUUGCCGCUUCGGUCUUGGCGCUUCUUCUCUCUCUUUCUCUUCGAUACGACCUCUCGCUUCACAUGGAUCUUGGAUCUCUCGGGAUGUAAUGAUAUUAUUUCAUUUUUAUUAAUCUUUCAUCUGUCAGUCUUUUCUUUUUUUUUAGCACAUAACUAAUUUGAUUGACCUUUGGUUAAAUCAAUUUUUGGGACUUUCCAUAUCUAGAUGGGUAAGAAUGUGGUUCUUUACAAUAUAGAUCUAAUGAAUGAGUUUUGUUUGUUUUUGUUACUUUUGAUAUGAUGUCAAAUGCAACACUAAAUCGAAUUUGUAAUGAUGAAAAUGAUACCAUGUUGGGUGUGAAAAUCUAUUGCAAACAUGGAGACUUACUUUCAAUACAAACUUCAUGGUCGAAGGACAAUCAACGUCGAAGGUUUUGAUCUUGUCCACGCUAUCAUGAGAAUGCAAGCAAUUUCUUUAGAUGGAGGGAUCGUGAAGAUGUUGAUAUACGAUCACACUUUCGUUAUUCUAAGAUUGGCGAACAAAAUUAAGGAGUUGAAAAUUUAUGAUCAAAAUUAAGGAGUUGAAAAUUUAUGAUGAAAGUCAUAUUAAAAUACGUAUCGAAUGGGGAUAAGGAGAAGAAGAAGACGAAAUAUUAUAGCAUGUGGAAGCUAAUCUUGGUGUUGUUUAUUUUUUUCUUGAAUUAUCAAGCAUUACAAAGAAAAAUACAGUAGAGGAUAGAAAUUCUUAUUUAGUUGGUGUACAACCAUUAAAAUUACGAUAGUUGUGGAAAUAAAUAAACAUAGUUUUGCAUUCUUGAA